rnacentral:lncRNA from 1 species
GUGAAGAAUUUUAUUUCUUGUUUUUCAAUACUGUUUGCAUGAAAGCCAUACGUUUUGCCCGAAACGUAAUGGUCCAUUGUAAGGGCCACCUCAUGUUUCAUUUUGCAACAUUUUGCAUCAUAAAUAAAUGGAUGUUUUUCAAAUUAAAAGUGGUGUUCCCUGUUUUUCAUUUAUUUUGCAAUUUUAAAAACAAAUAAAAAUGGCAAUGUUU